GGAUUAGAUACCCUGGUAGUCCACGCCCUAAACGAUGUAUGCUUGGUGUUGGGCCCAUUGGGGUUCAGUGCCGAAGGAAAUCUGGUAAGCAUACCACCUGGGGAGUACGAUCGCAAGGUUGAAACUCAAAGGAAUUGACGGGGGCCCGCACAAGCGGUGGAUCAUGUGGUUUAAUUCGAUGCAACGCGAAGAACCUUACCCAGGCUUGAAGUGUAAGAAGUACAGAGAUGAAAGUCGACGGACCCGUCAAAUCGGGAGCUUACAGAGGUGCUGCAUGGCUGUCGUCAGCUCGUGCCG
rnacentral:rRNA from 1 species